GCUAUACAUGCAAGUCGAGCGGACCGAACGAGAGCUUGCUCUUGUUCGGUCAGCGGCGGACGGGUGAGUAACACGUGGGCAACCUGCCCGCAAGACCGGGAUAACUCCGGGAAACCGGAGCUAAUACCGGAUAACACCAAAGACCGCAUGGUCUUUGGUUGAAAGGCGGCUUCGGCUGCCACUUGCGGAUGGGCCCGCGGCGCAUUAGCUAGUUGGUGAGGUAACGGCUCACCAAGGCGACGAUGCGUAGCCGGCCUGAGAGGGUGACCGGCCACACUGGGACUGAGACACGGCCCAGACUCCUACGGGAGGCAGCAGUAGGGAAUCUUCCGCAAUGGACGAAAGUCUGACGGAGCGACGCCGCGUGAGCGAAGAAGGCCUUCGGGUCGUAAAGCUCUGUUGUGAGGGACGAAGGAGCGCCGUUUGAAUAAGGCGGCGCGGUGACGGUACCUCACGAGAAAGCCCCGGCUAACUACGUGCCAGCAGCCGCGGUAAUACGUAGGGGGCGAGCGUUGUCCGGAAUUAUUGGGCGUAAAGCGCGCGCAGGCGGUCCUUUAAGUCUGAUGUGAAAGCCCACGGCUCAACCGUGGAGGGUCAUUGGAAACUGGGGGACUUGAGUGCAGGAGAGGAGAGCGGAAUUCCACGUGUAGCGGUGAAAUGCGUAGAGAUGUGGAGGAACACCAGUGGCGAAGGCGGCUCUCUGGCCUGUAACUGACGCUGAGGCGCGAAAGCGUGGGGAGCAAACAGGAUUAGAUACCCUGGUAGUCCACGCCGUAAACGAUGAGUGCUAAGUGUUAGAGGGGUCACACCCUUUAGUGCUGUAGCUAACGCGAUAAGCACUCCGCCUGGGGAGUACGGCCGCAAGGCUGAACUCAAGGAAUUGACGGGGCCCGCACAAGCGGUGGAGCAUGUGGUUUAAUUCGAAGCACGCGAGAACCUUACCAGGUCUUGACAUCCCCU
rnacentral:rRNA from 1 species